AGAAAGAAAAUGUUUAGUCCAAUGAUAAAUAGAAAAAAAAAAGAACAAGAAACUAACAUAAAACUCCAAACUAUCUCAAAAAACUAAGUUAACAUUUAGUGCAACAAACAUAAAAGUAGGAAAAGAAAACACUGUAAAAUAUCCAAUUAAACCAUGAAAAUGCAUGAUAUGCAAGAUGAGUCCUAGCUAUCUUAAGGAGGCUGCGGUGGAGGAAAUUGAGACAUAAGAUUAGCUAUGUGUUCCUCCAUUGUAGACAUCCUAGCAUUUAUGCCACUAGCAACAUCUCGUAAUGAGCCAAUGACUUCAAGGAUGGCUGAAGUCUUGACAAAAAAUUGAGCAUCUUAAGGUGGAGCUUGAGCGGGAGGUGCAACAGGAUCACCUUCUUCAACAUCCUCAUUAUCAUUAUCAUGGGGUUUGGUUUGAGCAACCUUCAACCAUGCACCGGUGCGAGGGUCCUUCUUGUAGCCAAUGUGACAAAGCGCUCCAAUGCCAAGAGGUAGAGGAUUUGCCAAUGAAGGAUCACCUUGGGUGGGAAUUUUUAGACGUUUGAAUAUAUAUGAGAGAUAGGUUCUGAAGGGUAAGGUGAUAGCGUUGGUAUGCUCUUUGCCAACGACCUU
rnacentral:lncRNA from 1 species